rnacentral:rRNA from 1 species
AACGAACGCUGGCGGCAUGCCUAACACAUGCAAGUCGAACGAGCCCUUCGGGGUUAGUGGCGCACGGGUGCGUAACGCGUGGGAACCUGCCCUUAGGUUCGGAAUAACUCCCCGAAAGGGGUGCUAAUACCGGAUAAUGUCUUCGGACCAAAGAUUUAUCGCCUUUGGAUGGGCCCGCGUUGGAUUAGCUAGUUGGUAGGGUAAAAGCCUACCAAGGCGACGAUCCGUAGCUGGUCUGAGAGGAUGAUCAGCCACACUGGGACUGAGACACGGCCCAGACUCCUACGGGAGGCAGCAGUGGGGAAUCUUGGGCAAUGGGCGAAAGCCUGACCCAGCAAUGCCGCGUGAAUGAUGAAGGCCUUAGGAUUGUAAAGCUCUUUUACCCGGGAUGAUAAUGACAGUACCGGGAGAAGAAGCUCCGGCUAACUCCGUG